rnacentral:rRNA from 1 species
UACGAAGGGUGCAAACGUUGCUCGGAAUUAUUGGGCGUAAAGCGCACGUAGGCGGCUUGGCAAGUCUGAUGUGAAAUCCCUCGGCUCAACCAAGGAAGUGCAUCCGAAACUGCCGAGCUUGAGUACUUAAGAGGAUCGCGGAAUUCCCGGUGUAGAGGUGAAAUUCGUAGAUAUCGGGAGGAACACCAGUGGCGAAGGCGGCGAUCUGGGAAGAUACUGACGCUGAGGUGCGAAAGCGUGGGGAGCAAACAGG